rnacentral:piRNA from 1 species
UAUACAAGUGUCAUACAGAGCUUUAAAAAAA